UACGUAGGGGGCAAGCGUUGUCCGGAUUUAUUGGGCGUAAAGAGCGUGUAGGCGGCUGGGUAGGUCCGUUGUGAAAACUCGAGCUCAACCUCGAGACGCCGAUGGAAACCCUCCAGCUAGAGUCCGGAAGAGGAGAGUGGAAUUCCUGGUGUAGCGGUGAAAUGCGCAGAUAUCAGGAAGAACACCCGUGGCUAAGGCGGCUCUCUAGUAGCGGUACUGACGCUGAGACGCGAAAGCGUGGGAGCGAACAGG
rnacentral:rRNA from 1 species